GGAAGUCAACAAACCCCUCACGUGACACCAACGUCGCUCUUCGAAGGGCUCCGGCGGCUCCCGGAAGACGACGAGGCGGGACUACACCUCCCGGCAUACAGUGCGCGGGCGGGACGUGACGGAAGCUGCUACUUGACCAAUGGGCAUUUUCCAGAUGACACACAGUGGAACAUGGUAUACUAAUAGAGACUGACACAACAAAUGAACUGAAAAAGAGCUUCCAUACUACUAACCAAACGAGCUGCAAGGGGCCCCCCAUCGCUCACAGUGGCUGGGAGUUGCAGGGCCCCCGCCACCAGUGGCGGGUGAAAGUUGCAGGGCCACCCCACCAGCCACCCUUGGGCUGAAGAAGAAAAUGUCCUAGAACUCUCUGGAAGUCAUGGAUUCCGUGACUUCUGUGACAAAAUCUUAGCUUUAAACAUAAGCAACAUUUAAAUAGUAAGUAUAUUUGAUGAUACCUGAUUGUGCACUUACUAUUUAGUGUGAAAUUAAAUACAAGUACUGCUGCAAAACAAGGAACACAUUUGUUUUCUAAAAUAUACUACUCAAAAUGACAAACUAAAUACAAAAUGUUAAACUUAAAUAUCAUUUUUCCCCAAAUCUUCGUUAGCAUUCAGUUAGUGUAAUGUUAAAUUUCUCCCAGCCAUCCUGUAAUUUACAGAAUAUUCACAGUGAAAAUGUAGCAAAUGAGUUUCACUGUCUUAGAGAUAAAUGGCAUACAUGUAGACCUAUGCAAAAUGAGAGAGAGCAGUUCUAUUAAUUGUUCAAAGGCAAAAAGGAGCAUUGAGUAAAUGUGAUAUAAUGCUUAGAGCAACGUUUUGGGAUUACAGUCUAAAGACCCCAUCUUCCAAUAAGUAAUAUGUGAGCAUACCCCUGUAUCCCUGAAGAGCUCAUUACAGGAUCAGGAUCUAAGUGUGUUGGGAUAUUUUUUUAAAAAUAUCAAAGCCAACCAAGUAAAGUAGUGAGAUGUGGAGGAGUGUAUGUCUGAUGCUCUUUGUUCCAUUCUUAGACACACCAAUAAUUUUGUUAGAUAUAAAAAUAAAUUCAAACAAGAUAUCCAGAGUUACACUCACAGUAAAUAUAGGUUUUAACAUGAGUGGGCUCAUACGCCUUGUAAAAAGGUGGACAUAAGAGGGUGGCAUGGUUCUUAUGUUGAAUGAACCUAUUAGCUGGAGUUAUAACACACCACUGAAGCAGAUGCAUCUUGUUAUAAGUAGAUAUAAGUGAGAGGAGAGCACCCAUGUAACUAGGAAAAAAAAAAAAAGGUUGGUGGGAGUUAAAUAGAGUGGUUGAGGGAGGAAAGUCAUAUGGCUGGUUAUGAUUAGGAAGAUAUUUUAGGAUGAGUUUAUAUUUUAGUGACAUAGUGACUUUCUGCUGUUUAAGGAUAAGAAUGGCAGGACUCUGCUCUAGUAGCAACCAGUAAAUUUUAAUAUUAAAAUAGAAUAAUGCAAUAUUGUUAUUACUAAAAAAAGCAAAUAGUUAUGCUGAAAAAAGGAAAAUGACAUAAAAGCUGAAGAUUUAAGAAUUAACACAAGUUUUGAAAGAUGAUACUUAUAUUAUUCCAAGUUACGGAUACUCAUGUAUUCCCUAUUAAAACAUAGAAGUAUAGGUGGCUUCAUCGAGACUCAACUGGGGUCAUGUUGGCUCAUUUUUAAAUUUUGUAUUAUAUCACUCAUUAAACUGUAAAUUGUGAAAUACAGCAUAAGGUUUAGAGCAAUUACUAUAGCUACCAAAUCUUAUAUCUGAGUUUCAGAUGAAUUAGUCAUGAAUAUGUUUCUAGCUUGUAAAAAACUGGUAAAUUGUAGAAGUGUACUUUGUCUCUUUUCAAAGUGCCUAUAUUUCUUUUCACAAAGGCCCAUAUCCUCAAAGGUAGUUAGGCAUAGCUCCACUCUGUGGUGCAAUGCCUAACCUCUAGGAAGUCUGCUGUCUAGUGGAAUCUUCAGUCCCAAGUUAGGUGUCCAGGUCCCCAUACAGUAUAUGGGGAAUGUUAAGUGCCCAAGGAAGGUAUUCUCAGAAGCCAGCAACUGGAGUGGAGUGAAAUGCUGAGGACAGCAGCUUAGGGGCCACCUCAGAGACAGGCACCUCUCUGUCAGCUUGGGAUCCUCAGUUGUGAAUUCUGUCCUACAAUUAGGUAUCAAAACCAGGUCAGCUGCUUAGGAUGCCUAUGCUUUAGCAACUUAAACCCAUUAGGAUGAAACUGAUACCUUGAGUUUUUUGUGCAAAAUGAGAGUCAAAGUGGUUAGAAUAGCCUGGUGGUUAGGGUAC